rnacentral:piRNA from 1 species
UCCCAGCAGCCAUGAAAAGCAGUAACGCC